AUUGAACGCUGGCGGCAUGCUUUACACAUGCAAGUCGAACGGCAGCGCGGGCUUCGGCCUGGCGGCGAGUGGCGAACGGGUGAGUAAUGCAUCGGAACGUGCCCAGUAGUGGGGGAUAGCCCGGCGAAAGCCAGAUUAAUACCGCAUACGACCUGAGGGUGAAAGCGGGGGACCGAAAGGCCUCGCGCUAUUGGAGCGGCCGAUGUCGGAUUAGCUAGUUGGUGGGGUAAAGGCUUACCAAGGCGACGAUCCGUAGCUGGUCUGAGAGGACGACCAGCCACACUGGGACUGAGACACGGCCCAGACUCCUACGGGAGGCAGCAGUGGGGAAUUUUGGACAAUGGGGGCAACCCUGAUCCAGCCAUGCCGCGUGCGAGAAGAGGGCCUUCGGGUUGUAAACCGCUUUUGUUCGGGAAGAAAUCCUCUGGGCUAAUACCCCGGGGGGAUGACGGUACCGGAAGAAUAAGCACCGGCUAACUACGUG
rnacentral:rRNA from 1 species